GGGUUGUGAGGUUAAGCGACUAAGCGUACACGGUGGAUGCCCUGGCAGUCAGAGGCGAUGAAGGACGUGCUAAUCUGCGAUAAGCGUCGGUGAGGUGAUAUGAACCGUUAUAACCGGCGAUUUCCGAAUGGGGAAACCCAGUGUGUUUCGACACACUAUCAUUAACUGAAUCCAUAGGUUAAUGAGGCGAACCGGGGGAACUGAAACAUCUAAGUACCCCGAGGAAAAGAAAUCAACCGAGAUUCCCCCAGUAGCGGCGAGCGAACGGGGAGGAGCCCAGAGCCUGAAUCAGUGUGUGUGUUAGUGGAAGCGUCUGGAAAUGCGCGCGAUACAGGGUGACAGCCCCGUACACAAAAAUGCACAUGCUGUGAGCUCGAUGAGUAGGGCGGGACACGUGGUAUCCUGUCUGAAUAUGGGGGGACCAUCCUCCAAGGCUAAAUACUCCUGACUGACCGAUAGUGAACCAGUACCGUGAGGGAAAGGCGAAAAGAACCCCGGCGAGGGGAGUGAAAAAGAACCUGAAACCGUGUACGUACAAGCAGUGGGAGCCUCUUAAUGGGGUGACUGCGUACCUUUUGUAUAAUGGGUCAGCGACUUAUAUUCUGUAGCAAGGUUAACCGAAUAGGGGAGCCGAAGGGAAACCGAGUCUUAACUGGGCGUUAAGUUGCAGGGUAUAGACCCGAAACCCGGUGAUCUAGCCAUGGGCAGGUUGAAGGUUGGGUAACACUAACUGGAGGACCGAACCGACUAAUGUUGAAAAAUUAGCGGAUGACUUGUGGCUGGGGGUGAAAGGCCAAUCAAACCGGGAGAUAGCUGGUUCUCCCCGAAAGCUAUUUAGGUAGCGCCUCGUGAAUUCAUCUCCGGGGGUAGAGCACUGUUUCGGCAAGGGGGUCAUCCCGACUUACCAACCCGAUGCAAACUGCGAAUACCGGAGAAUGUUAUCACGGGAGACACACGGCGGGUGCUAACGUCCGUCGUGAAGAGGGAAACAACCCAGACCGCCAGCUAAGGUCCCAAAGUCAUGGUUAAGUGGGAAACGAUGUGGGAAGGCCCAGACAGCCAGGAUGUUGGCUUAGAAGCAGCCAUCAUUUAAAGAAAGCGUAAUAGCUCACUGGUCGAGUCGGCCUGCGCGGAAGAUGUAACGGGGCUAAACCAUG
rnacentral:rRNA from 1 species